GCAUUUUGGUCGAGUAGUAAAGACACUCGCCUCUCACCCUGGAUGCCCGGGUUCGAUGCCCGGUUGAGGAGCU